UGCGGAGGGAUAUUUUACAAAU
rnacentral:rRNA from 1 species